GACGAACGCUGGCGGCGUGCUUAACACAUGCAAGUCGAACGGAAAGGCCCUGCUUUUGUGGGGUGCUCGAGUGGCGAACGGGUGAGUAACACGUGAGUAACCUGCCCUUGACUUUGGGAUAACUUCAGGAAACUGGGGCUAAUACCGGAUAGGAGCUCCUGCUGCAUGGUGGGGGUUGGAAAGUUUCGGCGGUUGGGGAUGGACUCGCGGCUUAUCAGCUUGUUGGUGGGGUAGUGGCUUACCAAGGCUUUGACGGGUAGCCGGCCUGAGAGGGUGACCGGCCACAUUGGGACUGAGAUACGGCCCAGACUCCUACGGGAGGCAGCAGUGGGGAAUAUUGCACAAUGGGCGGAAGCCUGAUGCAGCAACGCCGCGUGCGGGAUGACGGCUUUCGGGUUGUAAACCGCUUUCGCCCGUGACGAAGCGUGAGUGACGGUAAUGGGUAAAGAAGCACCGGCUAACUACGUG
rnacentral:rRNA from 1 species